rnacentral:lncRNA from 1 species
AAGAUAUUCAUUUAUGUAAUUUAAGUUUUAACAUUUUCUACGCUGGCUUCUUCCCAUGUGGUGGUUUCACCCAUUGUCACUCUACACUUACAGUAGAUCAGAGACAAAUGACACUUGUGUAAACUGUCACUGGUAAAUAUGUAGCUGGGAUAUGCUAAAAAACACAUUUCCAAUUCACACGUGUAUAAAUAAACGUGUACAUGUGUGAAAUAGAACAAAUAUAAGCACCCACCAAAUUAUAUAUAUUUUUUAAUGAGUCCAUCAGGAUAUUAUUACUGUCAUUGAGAAAGGCUUCCACUAGAGGCCAGUGUUCUACUAUAUUUACGGAACGCUGGAGAAAUAUGGAGAAAAUUCAGCACUUUAAUAUGUGACUCACGUUGUAUGAACACCAUAAAGUAAAAGAGAAAUAGCUCACUGAAAAACAUGUCGUAAUGGUGUACAUACCAUAUGGAUAAUAUCCUUUCCAUACUUUUAAAUUGCAUAUCUAUGUGUCUUUGUGAGUGCACACAGUGGUCAUUAGCCAAUUAGAUUUGGCUGUUGUCAUGAAUUAAUUGGAAGAACAACCAUAAAACACCCAUCCAAAGAUGAGCUGGAUUUCUGUGUAAAGUAGCAACAAAGUUGAAAAAUACAAAAGUCACACAACAGUCACGCUUCUUGCACACAAAAAGAAUCCAAGACAAAUAAAACAAGAGGGAAAUAAACAUAAAGUCUAUGUUUUUCCCAAGCUACAUGAGAACAAAAGUGAAUUCCCAGUUGGCGGGACAUUUUAUUAUUUCUAAGAAAAGCGCACAUUGUAAAAAAUGUGCCUGGGUGCCGGGGAGGGUAACACCCAGUAGGGCAGAACCCUGGGUUUUACAGGAGAAUGAGGGGAUGAAGAAACUCUGUCUCUCUCCACCACACUGCCUGCCUGUCUGUGUGCUAAUGCUGCAGCCACUGUGAAACCUGGUUUCAUCACACCCAACUUAACCUGCCUGCCUCUCCUUUUCAUCUUUAUCUGACUGAGAACCUCUGUCGGUUCAGUGUUGGGUCUCUGAUCAUACAGUGAUUCUUCUCUCCAUGUGCAGGCAAUACACAUCCAAUAAAUAUUUAUACAAGUGC